CCUACGGGUGGCUGCAGUGGGGAAUAUUGGACAAUGGGCGAAAGCCUGAUCCAGCCAUGCCGCGUGUGUGAAGAAGGCCUUCGGGUUGUAAAGCACUUUCAGUGGGGAAGAAAGCCUUGGGGCUAAUACCCUCGAGGAAGGACAUCACCCACAGAAGAAGCACCGGCUAACUCCGUGCCAGCAGCCGCGGUAAUACGGAGGGUGCGAGCGUUAAUCGGAAUUACUGGGCGUAAAGCGCGCGUAGGCGGUCUGAUAAGCCGGUUGUGAAAGCCCCGGGCUCAACCUGGGAACGGCAUCCGGAACUGUCAGGCUUGAGUGCAGGAGAGGAAGGUAGAAUUCCCGGUGUAGCGGUGAAAUGCGUAGAGAUCGGGAGGAAUACCAGUGGCGAAGGCGGCCUUCUGGACUGACACUGACGCUGAGGUGCGAAAGCGUGGGUAGCAAACAGGAUUAGAUACCCGGGUAGUC
rnacentral:rRNA from 1 species